rnacentral:rRNA from 1 species
CCCUAUUAUUUUAGAAUGUUAAAUUUUGUGCCUGAGUAGUAUUAGUUAUGUUCUUGAAACUUAAAGAAUUUGGCGGUAUCUCAUUCCGUCCAGAGGAAUCUGUCCCGUUAUCGAUAGUCCACGUUGGACCUUACUUAUUUGAUUUUGGUUUGUAUACCGCCGUUUAUUGAUUAUCUUUUUAGAGGUUAUGUUAAUUUUCUGGUUUCUUUAUUUUGAUGUAUUUCAGGUCAAGGUGCAGCUUGUUUUUAAGUGGAAUGAUGGAUUACACUGUUAUUUGUUUAUGGAUUGUUGGUUUUAAUAUUGGCAUGAAAUUGGAUUUGGUUGUAAUGAUUUGUAGACUGUUAUUAUGAUAAUUGGUUCUGAGAUAUGCACACAUCGCCCGUCGCUCUCGUUUGUUAUUAUAAUGAGAUAAGUC